AACAAAUAGUGAUCCAGUUUGGUCGGAGUAGAUAUAAGUUUGGUCUCUGCUCGAGCUCCUGCUGCUGCUUGGAUUUUCCUUUUCCCCUCUCAUCCAACCGUGGGUACCAUCUGACCCAUUUUCUUUUCGUGGUUGAUUGGUGCUAAUUGAUUUCAUCAUAUGGCCAAUGUUUCUUGGUUAGGGGCCUGUUAUUUUUUUUUGAGCUUGACGAUGCCGUGGUCGCCCAGCCGAUCAAAUCCUCGCGCACACACAACAACUCAACUCCACGGUCUGCACACAACAGCUCAACACCACGGUUUGUACGCCACAGCCGCCGCUUGAGCAGCUCGAUGGGCAAUUUAUGUUAUGUACCUCUAUAUGAUAAUCCCUCCAUAGCUAUCUAGAAAAGGUUUCGAUUUGAAUUUGGUUAAGUUUAGUUUAGCGUGGUGAUGCUUACCCUAAUAAGUUGGUGUGUUGUUGUACUGUAUUGAAUAAAUGGUGGGCACUGAAUUUUCCAUGGAUUCAGCAGAGGAGAAGAAUCUCACCUACUUGCUAGCUUCCCAAAUGCAGUAAGCAAUGAAUACUUUCCAAAUGAAAUAGUGAAGACGCUCAUUUUCAGAGCAGAUGCACUCACAUGUGUCUUGAAUCAUUUAAUUUCUUUGUUUCGUGAAUAAAUGUUGGUUGGUGCUCUUGCUCUUUUACCAUGGUAACUUUGUAAACUUCAGAAUGCCUAAAGUUGGUUGCACACUCACUCGCUCAGCAAUGAGCAGUGAAGUCGCCAGCUUUGCCGUUGGCUGAAGAACAACAAGGUCUUUGUUGCAUGAUUAUUAGUUUGUUAAAUAUUUGUACAACAUCAAAGUACUUUUUAGUUGCAGAUUUGGCAAUACCUAGGACCUUAUGUUCCUCCAGUUCGGGGGCGGUUUAAAAGGCAGCUGUUCGAAACAUGAACGAAAAUGACUGUAGGUGGCAUACGUAUGGUACAGUCGAAGGACGUGAUUGGCUGGUAAGUUUAUGUGAGAAAUAGUUUAAGAAAUUGCAUGGAAGAUGUUUUAAGUUUACAUUGAAAUAAAGGGCGUGGACCUGUGCGUUGGGAUUGGGUGCUUUUUGUUUUCCGGUUGCAAUGCACAGGCACGUUUGUAUAUACUAGUAAUAAUAAAGCACGGGUUGAGUCUGUCGGGUUCACCGUCACUGUGUUUUUACGAAAAGGUCCCUAUUGUUUUGGGUAUUCAACCCGCAGUCCUCGUGAUAAGUCAAUCGAACCACUACACAUGAGAGAAAAGGAAAAAAAAAGACACCCUCACGAGUCACGAACCUGCCUCCCGAUCCCAUCUUCACCUCCAUCUCGCCGCCGCCUCGCCCCUCCCCGCGCCGCUGCCUCCUGCCACGCCUUGCCCCUCCCCGCGCUGCCGCGUCCUGCCACGCCCAGCCCGGCGCCGCCGCGCGCCGCCGCCUCCUACCCCGUCGGCGCGCCUACU
rnacentral:lncRNA from 1 species